GGGGACAGAGUAAGUGCCUCUCAAUCAUAUUUUCAACACAUGACAACAUUUUCUUAUUAUACACAUGGCAAUCAUUUGAUUCUUUUGCAGAAACUGGAUCCUUCGCGGAAAUGGCCGUAAACCGAACGGCCUUAUCACUGUCAUGUUGAAGCACUUUUGGCCUGGCCUAUUCUGCCCGCGGCCAGACAGGGACCCGCAGCUGCGGGUUUUGGCCACGAGGUGGACCCACUACGAGGCUUGCAGCAACGCGGAGUACGGGACGGCCGCUAAGGCCGUGAUCACCAAAUUUUGGGUAAGUUCUCUUCUAAAUCACUUGUCUUCAGUUUCGUUCAUAGUUUAUCAUUGGAUCACUCAACUCAUGCCUUGUUUGCUUCUGGUUUAUGCAGCAACUCUAUAGAGUUCUUGACGAGCACAAGGCCAGAGCCGACGUGGUCUUGCUUGCGGCUGCGAAGAAGAAAGCUCGUCAGUUGCAGUACGAGGUGCGCUGGGUUGCCGUCUCGCAGUACUACCACUACUACCUGCACCAAAAGAUGACCAAAAGUCAAGCGCAGAAGCAGCGACUUACCUUGAACAGGGAGCAGUUCAUGAUGGUAACUAUUACUAACUUUUCAUUGUUUCAAGCAGUCAACUCUAUGUUUCGUGCUCACAUGUCAUGCUUCCAAAAUUUGCAUAGGUUGUUCCUCGUUGGUGCUAUGGAAGGCAUGACGGAUGGGCGAGUUUGGUGGAUAGGUGGCUCGGCACCGAUGCAGAGUUUGCUGCCAAGAGCAUCAAGGGCCGGGCUAACCGUGGAGCCGACGGGACACACGGCCAAGGAAACAGGAACCACUGGAGCUUCAAGGCCAUGAAGGUAUAUCUAUGUGCAUGAUGCAUUUUUGUUCUUCUUUACCGUCAUGUUCUUAUGUAUGGCUAACUUCUAUUUGACGUUGUAGGAGGACAAGUUGAA
rnacentral:lncRNA from 1 species